ensembl:lincRNA
AUGAAACCGGCUGCUGCCUCACCGACCUGGGUGGAACCGCCCUUGUUUCCCGUAGGGAAAAUGUCUGGAAGUGAAAAGAAGAGAGCCAGAGGAUUGUUCCUGCGGCUGGGUCCAGGCCUGGGGCUCAGAAUCUUGCAGUGGGGCCUUGUGUUGACCCCAGGCCUUACAGGGUCACGUUCGGUCCCCCAAACUGGAGACGCCUGGAAGACAGGUGCACCAGAAGCCAACCCCAAGGAGCGGCGUGGGUCCGGGCGAGGCCGGCGCAGCGCGAGCUGGGGCUGGCAGCCUCCUCCAGCAGCGCACCGCACCCCAGUCCGAGAUCUGCCCCAAUCCCCGAUUAAGGCAAGAGGAAUGGAAUCACCAGGAACCACAGGCAGAGGAGGCCGAAGCUUUCCCACAAAGGUGUCCCAGGAGGGUAGGAAACCUGAAGUGCAUCCGGUGUUCCACCGGGCACUCUCAGGUGGGUAUGCAGUUCCCAAUAGCAGCGUAUGGGAAGAGAAGGCCCUCAGGGUGCAGAGAAGGGAGGCCCAGAGCCCAGGGUGUCCCAGGGCUGCAGGACCUUGUCACCACUCUGGGCUCCCCUGCAUGUGCAGGCGGUCUCCCUCCUGGCCCUCUUGGCCCUGGUGACAGGUGCAGGGGCUUGUCUCGGCCACACGCUGUGCCAGGCAGCCGCCACGCAUUGGUGCAGAACCACUAUCAGAACGGGUUUGUGCUGCUGUUUACAAAGCAAUCCUGCCAUCAAAAGAGAAACAAAAUCACCACUUAUCACACCCUGUCAUAAAGUAAUCUGCCCCGAGGGAAACCUUAGGAAAGAGGUGUGCACACGUGUGGGGAGGAGAGGGGCAGACAGGAGGGAGAGGGAGAGAGGAAGCGGGACUCUCCCAGUCAUCCUGUGGCCAUAUUCUGUCCCAACAGGCCAUGAAAGAUGCCCAGCAGGACCGGCUCUGGAGUGAGGUUGCGACAGUGGGGCCCAGGCACUGUGUGAAAUCGGUGCCCAGGCUCACUCACCUUCCACCCCUCACUCCUAGGUUUACUCUCUUUGAGUCUUCAAAGGCCCACCCAUAAAGACGAAUUCAAUUGGGAAGAUGGAACACACGCACCCACACACACCUGAGUUCUGGAGACUGAGGUCCCCUUGGAGGUCUUGAGGUACAGAAGCAUUUGCUUCCUGCAAUCCCCUCAUCCUCCUCCCAAUAUUCUUGUUCUGGGAGGGGUUCAGAUUUCCACAACCCCAGGUACCACCCUCCAAGCCCCAGGAAAUUGCAGGAAAGGCAGGUGUUCCAGGAAAUGCUCAGCAAUUCAGCAGCUCCAGUAGCCCUGGGUGGUCUCCUUCGAGCCCUGCCUGGAAGAAGGUGAGGACACCUUGUGGAGGGCUCUGGGGCCCCAGGCUCCUCUGGGUGGUACUAUGCGAGAAGCAGCCCCUGCCCUCAGAGGCCCACUAGGAAGUCUCCAGCAGCUGUUCUCACAUGAACCCACCCUCACAUGUCUAGUGUUGGGUUUGCUCUUGACUAAGAGAUUCCAGACACCUGAGAGCCCCAGAGCCCCACUGGCCCUUGGUCAUGCCAGAUACUGGGAGCCUGCAUGGAUUUGAGGCUCUCAGUCACCCUCCCGUCUGACCCUUGAACAACCCCCAUCCUUCAGAUUGCCUGGGCUCCUAGCUGGAUGUCCCGAGCCCAGGUGGCCAAAAGGACUACAGAUUAGCCCAGGGCACACAAGUAGAAUGUUCAGUUAAACUGUCAUCUGAGCUGAGUGUGGUGGCCCUCGCCUAAGUUCCAGCUGUUGGAGAGGCUGAGGCAGAAAGGUCAGCCUGAGCAACUCACACUGUCUCAAAAAUGUUUAAAUAAUGGAAAGGGGCUGGGGUUUGUAGUGCAGUGGUAGAACCACUUGCUAGCAUGCUAGACGCCUUGGGUUCAAUCUGUAGAACUGC